rnacentral:rRNA from 1 species
CCUACGGGGUGCAGCAGUGGGGAAUAUUGGACAAUGGGCGAAAGCCUGAUCCAGCCAUGCCGCGUGUGUGAAGAAGGCCUUCGGGUUGUAAAGCACUUUCAGUGGGGAAGAAAGCCUUGGGGCUAAUACCCUCGAGGAAGGACAUCACCCACAGAAGAAGCACCGGCUAACUCCGUGCCAGCAGCCGCGGUAAUACGGAGGGUGCGAGCGUUAAUCGGAAUUACUGGGCGUAAAGCGCGCGUAGGCGGUCUGAUAAGCCGGUUGUGAAAGCCCCGGGCUCAACCUGGGAACGGCAUCCGGAACUGUCAGGCUAGAGUGCCGGAGAGGAAGGUAGAAUUCCCGGUGUAGCGGUGAAAUGCGUAGAGAUCGGGAGGAAUACCAGUGGCGAAGGCGGCCUUCUGGACUGACACUGACGCUGAGGUGCGAAAGCGUGGGUAGCAAACAGGAUUAGAUACCCUGGUAGUC